rnacentral:rRNA from 1 species
GACGUAGGGGGCAAGCGUUAUUCGGAAUUAUUGGGCGUAAAGCGCUCGUAGGCGGGACUGGAAGUCCGUGUUGAAAGACCUCGGCUCAACUGAGGGACCGGCUCGGAUACUCUAGUUCUUGAGGCAAUCAGAGGGUGAUGGAAUUCCCGGUGUAGCGGUGAAAUGCGUAGAUAUCCGGAGGAACACCAAAGGCGAAGGCAGUGUCCUGGGGAGUACCUGACGCUCAGGUGCGAAAGCCAGGGGAGCGAACGGG